UAUGAUAGAAAUUUAAAGCAUUCUGAGGGUUGGGAGGAGGGUAAUAAUAUUAUCUUCAUGAAUUAUAAACUUAAAUGUGCUUGUUAACAUUUCUUAGGUGACCACUAACAGAGAAGAGUGUGAUUUCCACACAAGUGGAGAAAUGAAAGGAGAAGGAGGGGUUCAAAUGAAACACAGAGAAAGGAGACAGGACACAUCUGAAGUAUGAAACUGACGCCCAUAGAAAGGGGUGUGCAAGACAAAACCAGAAGAAAGCUGGAGCAGGCUGCGGGCAGAGGCAAGGAACACUGCAAAUUGGUAAAUGAGUCAAUUCACAGAGAAGAGCUAGUAGUUCUAAACUUGAAUGCAACUAAUAAUUGCUUCAAACACAUAAAGUAAAAAUGACAGAACUACAAAGAAAUUGACAACUGCCUACUCUGGGUGAUGUCUCUCAGGGAGCUAUUUCACGGAAAGUCAUGGGCUGGAGGGUCUUGAGGACAGGGGCUGUCUCGGCAGGAGAGAGUGGAGUGCCAGAUGCUGGGAAGAAUGCCUGGGAACAGGCAGUGUGGAAUACACUGCUCUUCAGUAGCUUCAUAAUUACCAAGAAACUCUGUCUAAAUCUAUUGAUUUAACACUACAAAUUAAAAUAAAGGUUUGAACAAGGUC